rnacentral:rRNA from 1 species
UACGUAGGGUGCAAGCGUUAAUCGGAAUUACUGGGCGUAAAGCGUGCGCAGGCGGCUUUGCAAGACAGAUGUGAAAUCCCCGGGCUCAACCUGGGAACUGCAUUUGUGACUGCAAGGCUAGAGUACGGUAGAGGGAAGCGGAAUUUCCGGUGUAGCGGUGAAAUGCGUAGAUAUCGGAAGGAACAUCAGUGGCGAAAGCGGCUUCCUGGACCAGUACCGACGUUCAGGCACGAAAGCGUGGGGAGCAAACAGG